CAGCAGCCGCGGUAAACCGUAGGGGGCAAGCGUUAUCCGGAUUUACUGGGCGUAAAGCGCGUGCAGGCGGCUUAGUAGGUUGGACGUGAAAGCUCCUGGCUCAACUGGGAGAGGCCGUUCAAUACCGCUAGGCUCGAGGGCGGAAGAGGAAAGUGGAAUUCCCGGU
rnacentral:rRNA from 1 species